rnacentral:rRNA from 1 species
GAUGAACGCUAGCUACAGGCUUAACACAUGCAAGUCGAGGGACCCGCGCACGGGUGAGUAACACGUAUCCAACCUGCCCUUUACUCGGGGAUAGCCUUUCGAAAGAACGAUUAAUACCCGAUAUAAAGGAUGGGGAUGCGUUCCAUUAGGUUGUUGGUGAGGUACCGGCCCACCAAGCCUUCGAUGGAUAGGGGUUCUGAGAGGAAGGUCCCCCGCAUUGGAACUUAGGCCCGGUCCAAACCGCGAGGGAGGGGAGCAGUAAGGAAUAUUGGGGAAUGGAGGUUGGCCUGAACCAGCCAAGUAGCGUGAAGGAUGAAGGCUUAUGGGUCGUAAACUUCUUUUAUAUAAGAAUAUGUAUUAUAUGAAUAAGGAUCGGCUAACUCCGUGCCAGCCGCCGCGGUAAUUC